GGACAAUUAAAAAUAUCAAAUGUCCACUUUCUCUGUUCCCAAAGCUGCUUAGUUGGAAAGGGCUGUCCUUCAACCAAAAAUGCACUAGUAACUGGGUUCUCCUGCUGGACCUUCCACUGUGGGAGCCUAACCCCUCCCCACAAUGCCUCUGUUCUACCACAGAUACCUGUUUCCCAAGUUUACACUGUGCUGGACUGAAUUUGUAGACAUGAAGGUCAAUGUGCCCUGUGAAACCAUCGAAUACAUUGAAGCCAACUAUGGUAAGACCUGGAAGAUUCCUAUAAAAAUAUGGGACUGGAAGAACUCUCCCCCCAAUGUGCAGUCCAAUGGAAUCUGGCCUAUUUCUGAGUGGGAUGAGGUCAUCCAGUUGUACUGAAAUAAUAAGUUGAAAUAGGAGAAGCUUUCUCCUGAAAAAAAAUGUUGGUAACUGUUUAAAAGACUACAUGUCUAUUUGUCAAACAUAAGCAGGAUCCAAAGGAAAAACAUGACAAGUUUUAAGACUGAAAGAAUCCUAACUCUUGAGCCAUCUGAUUUAAUUAUCUCAUUCAGCAUUCACUUAGUUUCUGUGUGUCAGAUAAAAUACUAGGUUACAGUGGAGAAGCAGAGACAAAUGAUCAAAUGUCUGCAUUGUUCCUGUCCCUUUGGUAAGCACCCCAGUUUUCCUUUGAUGGAAAUUUUCCACCUUUUGAAGAGCUGAAGUAGAAUAUAAUAUAUCCUAUAAUUUUUUUUUAAAUGUUAAGUAAUUCUUAGACUGGAAGAUGAGCUUAUCAGGCAAAGCUAAUGAAUGGUAUAUUCAUGAAAAAGAACAAUGUAUUCCUGUUCUUAGUGUUGAAGCUUGUGUAAUAGUGCUACCUUUAAGAAUGUGGCAUCUGAGUUAAUUUUCAAGUGAUCAGACUUUAGGUAGCAUCAAGAAAAGAUUGUUGCAGACUCAUUUGACAAGCCAUAUGAUGCAAAUUGAUUUAGAGCAUAGGGUAUUAUUCUAUAAGGGAAGGUGGGAGCUCAUUUUGAGUUUUGUCAAGUUAAUUUCAUAUAUUUACUAUUUUCAUAUUUGAAGUGAGAAGAAAGUUGAUGCUUUUGUGAUACUUAAAUUUUCAACUAUGGUGAGAAUAUUUUCAUUGACCCUUGAUGCACUUGUUGGUAUAUUAUUCAAGCAAGACCAUGCUACCAGACAUGAUUUUGAAGAGAUGUGAUUUUACAAAACUCACUUUCCUAUUUCACUCUCAAACACUGUCUUAGGUAAAAAUAUGAGCUAUUCAUUGACAUCUUCUAUUUUCUCAGUUUAUAACCCUUGCAUUUCCAAAUUAGUGUUGACCCUAAGAUAUUAAUAGAAAUACCUCUAAUUUUUCUAAAUAUACCCUUCAUUGUAUUUACUCAUCAGUCACGGCUCCUUAUCUUUAAUUUAUACACAAUAAACUAAUUUAAGUGGCAAAAAGCUGUUCUUUUUCUCUUCUAAAACUACUUCAGAUCUCCAAAAUGAAAGGUAAAUAAUGAACCUGACAACUAUUCCCCAUCCUAGACUAUACUGUUUAUAAAGCUGUGUCUCUCUCUCAUUGUUCAAUCUGUGGAGUAUCUAUGGGUCAAGAACUCAGACUUCUCUGCUUUCUCAAGUACCAUCUACUCUGGAACCCUUCAUUCCCCUGCCCAUCUCAAGGUAUACCCCUGAGUGGGCUGGGAUGACUUCCCUAUCUCUUUACUAGUAGUCACUUGAAUGAUGUAUUCUCAUUGAGUGAUAAAGGGAAAUGCAGGUACAGUGAGCCUCGGGAAAAGAAGCUAAGUCUUAUAUCUUAUCUGUGCUACUUAAAACUGUCUUGGGCUGACAUGGUAGACUUUUUUCUGUAACAAGAAUAACAAGUUCUUAAUUUGAAAAACAACAUGAAGAUUUUCUUUGAUGGAUGGUAACCAACAUUCUAUCUCUCCUAGGAUGCAUUCUCAAUGUAAAAUCAUUGGGUCUUUUCAUAAAUAAACAGGUUUUCAGGGAUCUUUAUAGAUUACCAGCAGUACCCAAAUGACAGGUCAUCGUAAUCAUCUUUCUCUUUGUUAGAAAAUCAGCCCAUAGACUAUAAACCAAGUUUUAAAUAUCCAACUCUAAUUUCAUUUUUCACACCCCAAAACAAUAUAAGAGAUAAUAAUUGUGUUCUUGGGUAAAAUCCACUCCACUUAGAGUGCUGUUUCCUUGUGCUUGGCAUCUGGAACUCCAUAUUCUUCACAUUCCUGCCUAAAUUGGGGUUUCCAAAUGUUUGCCAGGAAAUCCUUCCCAACAAGUUCAUGUUGUUUCUCUUGUAUCUGUCUCAGGAGUAUGAGAUCUGGAAAUGUGAAAAAAAAAAAAAAAGAUAUCUUAGUCCAGUUGGUAAAUAUUCCAUAUUCUUCCUUACAUAGAUCAAGGCUGCUGAGAUACCUUGUCUUCCUUCUGGUUUUACAGGCAGCUUUAGCUCUUGGGCUCCAUUCUAAUUUGGAGAAAUGAAAGCCUUUCCCCAGAAUAUGAAGAGACCUGAACUUACUUCUGAUACUGAUUCAGCCUUACUUCAGCCUGUGCUUCUUAACAUUUGAACUUGGCUGAGUGUUCGGAGACCCUGAGUUAAGUGUAUCCCCCAUCAAUAUCUCAUCAGAUCACUUUUCUUUCCUUACUUAAGUAUUCCAGCAGUCAUUUUCCUAAUCUGAUCAUUUUCAGUUCCAGUUUGCCUGGUUUACCUGAAGAGGACCUCUUAUAUUAACUUAUUGGUAUUUAAACACUGUGAAUGUUUCCAGAACGAUCCUGAGAAGCAAGAACAGUCAACUGAGUUGCAAGUUGACAAUCAGUCCACUGAGAAAGCCUUUCAGUCCUUCUCUAAGCUUGAGCAUUUAUCCUUAUCCUCUGUCUACUCCAACAACUGAUUCCUGGCCCCUGGAAUAAAAUAGUAGUUCCCCAAACUCAGUAUUCCUAAGAAUAGCUGAGCAGUGAGAAUGCAGGUUUCCCUGAUUCCCUAGCUACAAACCCUGAAAAGUGAACACUAGGUAAUAAAAUACAUGCCAGCAUCCCCCCCAAAUAACUUAACAUUUAAGUGAAAAUCAUCCUGCUCUUGAAUCUUUAAAGCCAAAAGGAGCUUUAGUGCAAUAUUCAUUGUAACUCUCUUAUUUUGUAACUAGUAAAUAAAUAUUUUGAGCAAGAAACAGCUGAAGCUAAAACACAAGAGUGCCAUGACAUCCAGUCCAGUGUUUCUUUCAUUACUUACAUCCCCGCACAACAUCUUUGACCCUCUCAAAAUGCUUGACAGAGGAAUUACCCAGUGUUCAAUGAUACAGUUUCAGGGUUUUUUUUUUUUUGCCAUUCCCCACUUAAUAUCUUUUUGCUCGGGUUGAAACCCCAAGGUGACAAAGAGAUUAGGGAAGGAAUGUUUCUUUGUUGUCCAGAAUUUUUAGGCUACCUUCUUUAUCUGAAAAAAAAACCUUGUCUCCCAAAAAUAAAAUUGUUCAUACCUGGAAAUACCAGCCUUUGGUACCUGAUUCUCCAGAGCUCAAGAUGUAUUCCAGGGGCUGGGGAUGUGGCUCAAGCGGUAGCGCGCUCACCUGUCAUGCGUGCGGCCCGGGUUCGAUCCUCAGCACCACAUACAAACAAAGAUGUUGUGUCUACCGAGAACUAAAAAAAUAAAUAAAUAUUUAAAAAAAAAAAAAAAAAAGAUGUAUUCCAUUGAUGCUUUACCCUUGUAUUUCCCCAGAGAACCAUCAGCACCAAUUUGCUAAGUGCCCCUCUUUGAAGAGUCCCUCCCCUUCAUGAAGCAGCCUUUCAUGUGGAUCUUUCUGUCUCAAGCCCUUUUCUUCCUGAAAGAUCUUUACCGUUCAAAGAGAACAAUAGUUAGAUGUAAACAGAGUACAUUGCAAUUUUCAGGACUUUUUUUUUUUUUCUGCUUGGCUGGAAAGGAAAUUGGAGUAUCUAGUUUCUUUCUGCUUUUGGUUAUUUAUAGUGAUAAUUUCUUAUGAAUGCAAGUAGUUAACAACAGACUGUGCUCAUUUCUUUUUAAAUUUGUGACUCCAAAUCAUUAUUUCUAUUCUUACACAACAACAAAGCCUCAAAUGCACAUAGGAUAGGCCGAAAACUGCAUAUCUCAGCAGGGGUUUAUAGAUUGAAUACCAAAGUUGAAUCUGAAAGACACACUUGGAAUAAGUUCUCAGCUCCAAUCUAAAAUGUCAUCUAAUAUCACAAGCCUAAGGCUACAAAUUUUUCUAAGUUUCCCCAAGUUUCACUUUCUAGAAAAUAAACAGCUACUUCAUCCUAAAUGUUGUAAAUCCCUAGGGGAAAUCUUAUCUCAAAAACAUAGUUAUGCAUUCCCUCCUUCUAACACAUUCAUAGUUGUAGCUGCUUAAAGGCAUGGAAAAACUCCAGUUACUGACUGAAAGAAUUUCUCUAAAGAAAUGACAUAGGAAAGACAGUAGAAUGAAUUGGACCUAACUUUCCUAUGUUCGUAUGUGAAUACACAACCAGUGAAACUCCACAUAGUGUACAACCACAAGAAUGGGAUCCUAAUUAGAAUAAAUUAUGUUCCAUGUAUGCAUGCUAUGUCAAAAUACACUGUACUGCCAUGUAUAUCUAAAAAGAACAAAUUUAAUAAAAAAAAAAAAAAAAAAAACGAAAGAAAACAAGGCUGGGGUUGUGGCUCAGUGGUAGAGACUUUGCCUAGCACAGGUGAGGCACUAGAUUUGAUCCUUAGCACCACAUAAAAACAAUAAAUAAAGUAAAGGUUAAAUUCUCUAAAAAGAGAAAGAGAACAUACCAAUUAUCACAUCAAAAAAAACAAAAAAGGCACAGUGACUUUCUUUACUUUCCUCCUCUUCCUCUAUUGUUAAAACCUGGGCUGGCUGGGUCACCUCUAACAUCUCUAUUAUGGAAGGUAACAUGUUAGUAUAAAAAAGACCACAAGUGGGCUGGGUCUGGGGCUCAGUGGAAGCACACUUGCCUGGCAUGUGUGAGGCACUGGGUUCGAUUCUCAGCAUGGAAUAAAUAUAAAUAAAAUAAAGGUCUGUGAAAAACUAAAAAAAAAAAAAAAAAAGACCACAAGCUUUUGAGCACUGUAGGAGUUUGAAUCCCAUUUUAUUAUGUGGGAUUUAUAGUAUGGAGAUGGGGGGCUCUCAGCCUCUGUUUACAUGAGUCAAUUGGGGGAAAUGAUGCCUAAUUCUAAGGGAUUUUAGAAAGAGUCCAUGAAAUGUGUAAACCUAGGAUUAAGUAAAUAUUCAAGAAAUGUGCCACUUCCUAGUUCCAUGUUGUUUUUUGUAAUUAUUCAAAUGGGAUUACAGAAAUUGUAGGUCAGGAUAAAAUGCCCUACUCAGAAGAUAAAUAACUGAUUUGCUUAAGAAAAAAAUUAUUUUAUCCACUCAUUGCAUGUCAAAUUGUAUAGUUUUAUGAAAUUCAAAGACAUUACCACAUUGACUCUUUUCUAAAUAGAACUUGUAUUAUCAUUUUGUUGAUCAAGCUGUUGUCUCUUAAUACUAUCUCUUAUGAAAUUAGUUUCUUGAUCCCAAGUAGUUCUUUGAUUUAGUGUCUGCUCUCACCUGAACUCAUUUUUCAAUAUUCUAGCUUUACCCAGAGGAUUUUGGAAAAUGAAAGAAUUUGGAAUACUUAGUUUUAAUUAAUUAUCUGUGUUUUGAUAUGGGUGUAACUCACUGACAGAACACUUGGCUAGAGCAUGUAUGCAGUUUUAGGUUCAAUUCCCAGAACCACCAGAGGUGGGGAGAUGAUCUAUGCCUUUUUAUUGUCAGAGAAUUGAAAAUACUCGUGUCCACUGUCCCAAAAUUUGUUUCUAUCUCAACUAGCAAGAAUCAGCAAGGUAUGAGAUACCAUUUUAAGCUACUCACCAUCAGACUGGAAUCAAUUAUAAUUUAUAAGUGAAGCAGAUCAAUUUAUUUGUGAUACCUUUGUAUAAAAAUCAAAAAGGCAAGUACAAAUUUUCUAAUGAGAAAUCUGUUUCUGAACUUUCAAUUCAUAGCCUAGAAUUCCCACCACUCCCAUAACUCCUGAACCCAAUGGAGUGUAGGUAAAAAAAAGCCUUUAGCCCACCAAGCUUCCAUAUACUCAUAAGCAUCUCCCACAAAAGUGUUGAAAAGGGGCUAUAAAGAGAACUAGAAGUAUAGUAUUUUGUUGUAUAAAAUAAGGUACUCACACGCCUUUUAAAAAAUUAAAGAUCUUACAUCUUUCUAAUGAUUUAUUCUGAGCAUGGAGAUACUUCAUGUGUUUGUUAUUUGAAAAUCAUGUAGCUCUUUGUGUGUUCCUUCCAAUUCAUAACUAUAAAACAUGUAUAGGAAUUUUUAAACAUGAGUAGAUUUCAGGGUAUGCUUACCUGUUUACUAUUUGGUUUUAUCUUCAGGUAUAGAUACUUUGUGGUACUACUGAAAAUACCUUUAAUAAUAUUAUUUUGACCAAAAUUUGUAAUAUAUAAUUUACUUUGAAGUGAUGAAUAAAAUUUUUUCUAAUCUCUUGAGAUA
rnacentral:lncRNA from 1 species